GAAGUAGAAGGCGACGCUGUAGUUGUUUGUGUAAUCCACCAGCCAGCCUGCACAAGUAAUCCAGGACAAGAAGAAAUAUCACACCACCAGUGCUGAUGAAUAAAUGAACACGGAUAAAGACCUCCCCUUUAUGGCCAGUUAUACUUGACCAAACAGGUGGACCAGUGAAGCCUCCAAUGCUCCUUAAAAGCAUAAAGAGCCCGAGUCCACUGUCGAAUCCCUCCAGGGUUACAAUGUCCACAAUAGCUGUGACGUGAAUUGCCACCACACAGCCAAACAGGAAGCCGU